rnacentral:piRNA from 1 species
GCUGCUUUUAUAGCCUUGAAGGGCACUGUGGA